rnacentral:lncRNA from 1 species
UGAACAUUCUACCCCUUCCUCCACGUAACCAAUUCCCCGUCUCUCCCCUUAUUUUCUGCUGAAUUUUGCUUUCAUUCCCGUGUCUCCCCAUAUUAUCUGUUGAAUUUUGCUUUCUGGAUUCCUGUAACAUGCUUCUCUGCAUCCAUAUAAACACCUUCCACUCUUACAAAACCCUACAUCAUCUUUGAUUUCGCUCUCACACACUUCAAAUCUAUUCUCAAUUGCUUACGACAAGGUAAAUUGAAGGUCUUCACAGCUGUUGAUACUGAACGGAGAUGUGCAUCUGAUUGUAAUCAACAAACAGUUAGGGCAAACUUCAAGAGAGAUCGAGCAGGUAAAGUGUGCCAGAAGUCACCAUAUUCCCCUUCCAUUGAGGUAAAAUUCGUUAAUGUUAUUAAUCAAGUAAACCAGAGUUCAUUAGGGCUAAUUCGUUACAAAAUUAGGGCUAAUUUUGAUACUACCAAGUUUAGGGUUACACACCAAAUUGUGGUUUAGAAUUUGAUUUUGGCUCUAUUAAUGUUAUUAAUCAAGUAAACCAGAGUUCAUUAGGCUUUUAUUUUAAAAGUAGUUGUUGCACCUUUCUAUUUUAAUAUGUAGCAAUAGUGGUGGUCAGAUCAGACGUUUUCCUAAUCUACUACCAGCUGAAUGUCAAGCCACGGUUCUCAUGCUGCAUUAAGGCGUUCUUACAAUUGUUUCAUUAAGAUCUUUUAUAACAAUUAUUAAUUAUUACAUAAGUGUUCGAUUUAAGUGCUUACUGUAACAAAUAUAUUGUGUUUUUUUUUUAUUAUGUAAUGGUUGAAGAAAAAGAAGAGUUACCACUGAUGCUGUUUUUGGUGAUGUUGAAAAUACACAUAUCAAGUGUCUACCUAAAACAGAUAAACAUGAUGUUUCAAACUAGAUGGUGAGAUCUUUGUCAUGAUCCCCAUGAUUCAAUGAGUGUUAGAAGCAAAAAUGAUGGGGAAAGUAGUUUUACAGUAGAGCGAUCUUUAAAUACCAACACUCCAUGUGCUGAGUUUUCUGAUGCUUGGGAAGGGAAUAAUGUUUCUUUCUAAUUAUGUUUAAAUAUAGUUAAAGGUGAAAAUGGGUAGGUUGGGUAAUGUCUCUUAUAUAUAUAUUUUUUAAAUUUUUUAAUCUUUAUUUUAUUUAGAACCAAUACCGUCCUGAUGCUAAUAGUUUUAUGUGGGUUUAUAAGAGCCAUUGCUGCUUUAUCUUUAACAAUAGUUGGCUGGUUGUGCCAAAAUGGCUUUGGGUUGAAACACGCCUUUUUAUAGUACGGGUGGGUUGUGUUGGGUUGGGUUGACCCACAAACUCUUUUCUGUCCAUCCUUCAAUUUUUGAUAAAUCAUGUUUAUUAUGAUUGCCAAAAUGUAUAUGAAAUUGUGAAUCUUAUACUGUUGGAGAUUGUAUGCCUUAAAUUGUUAUUUAUGAUUGCCAAAAUGUAAAUGAAUCUUAAGUUGUUGCAUGUUGGAGAUGUAUGCCUUACGUUGUUAUUAUUCUUCAGAAUUCGCUGUAAUUUAUCUACGGACGUGAGUUGUGAGGGGACGGGAUGACGGUAGUAGGCAUCACUCAGGAGCACAAUUCUGAAAGCAGAUGUCUAUUGUCAUGUUAAAGAGGCCAAGCAAAAUCUAUCAAGUUACUUCUGCACAUAAAGCGCAUUGAGGGAGGCAACUCUUAUCUUUUGAUAUCCGAAAACUUAUCUUUUAUUAUUUAAGAAAGACAAAGUCAUAAAACUAGAUCAUUUAAUGUGGUUAACUAUAUAGUGGUCAAAAGCGCGCUAGAGUCUAGGUGCAAGCCUAGGCUCUCGGGACGAGGCGAGGCACAACUAAAACGCCUCAAACACACUCAAGUGCUAAAAACGCUUUGCACCAGCCUGAGUGGGUCUGAACCAGCCUUGUGGUUUCUUUAUUUGAGUUGAAUCCACUCUAUAGUCAAUCUCCCUUGCCAUAUUUCAUUAAAACCACAUUAAAAAUACAAGACAGUUUAAAAAAAUAUAUUAGAUCUUCUAUUAUAUUUGUAAUGAUCAGUAUUUUACCCAUAGUAAAAGAUGGUUCCAGUCAUUGUGCUGACUAUCACAUUGGUAACUGAACCAUUUAUGAUAAGUAGUAUCCGGAAAUAAGAAGAAUUAACU